rnacentral:tRNA from 1 species
GGGCUCAUAGCUCAGUUGGUUAGAGCAUCCGGCUCAUAACCGGAUGGUCCUAGGUUCAAGUCCUAGUGAGCCCACCACCAC